rnacentral:rRNA from 1 species
GGGCAGCGGGGGAGUAGCAAUACUCCCGCCGGCGACCGGCGCACGGGUGAGUAACACGUAUGAAACCUGCCCGUAGCAGGGGGAUAAGCGGAAGAAAUUCCGUCUAAUACCGCGUAACAACCCUUGGAGGCAUCUCCUCGGGUUUAAAGGAAGCGAUUCCGGCUACGGAUGGUCAUGCGUCGCAUUAGCUUGUUGGCGGGGUAACGGCCCACCAAGGCGACGAUGCGUAGGGGUUCUGAGAGGAAGGUCCCCCACACUGGUACUGAGACACGGACCAGACUCCUACGGGAGGCAGCAGUGAGGAAUAUUGGUCAAUGGCCGCAGGGCUGAACCAGCCAAGUCGCGUGAGGGAUGACGGUCCUGUGGAUUGUAAACCUCUUUUGUCACGGAGCAAAGGGCGUCACGUGUGGCGCUUUGAAAAAACACAUGUUAAAGCAUCGGCUAGGGGGGAAAAAGCAGCCGCGGUAAUACGGAGGAUGCGAGCGUUAUCCGGAUUUAUUGGGUUUAAAGGGUGCGCAGGCGGAAUGUCAAGUCAGCGGUAAAAUUUCGGGGCUCAACCCCGUCGUGCCGUUGAAACUGGCGUUCUUGAGUGAGCGAGAAGUAUGCGGAACGCGUGGUGUAGCGGUGAA